rnacentral:rRNA from 1 species
UACAGAAGCCUCAAGCGUUACCCGGAUUUACUGGGCGUAAAGGGUGUGUAGGUGGUGUGAUUAGUUUUGUGUUAAAUCUUCGGGCUCAACCCGAAGCUCGCGCGAAAUACGGUCACACUAGAGGAAGUAAGAGGUAUAUGGAACUCAUGGUGUAGGGGUGAAAUCCGUUGAUAUUAUGGGGAACACCAAAAGCGAAGGCAAUAUACUGGUACUUUCCUGACACUGAAACACGAAAGCGUGGGUAGCGAAUCGG